GCAGCACGCUUUGGGAACCUCAUCCGGCUUCAGAAGGUGAACCUGCCAUUGAAAACGGGUUGGGAGGAGGACAUGCUGCCUGAGGAGAGGGAGGUUCCUCUGGUAAACCUCUACCUUACCACCAAGAGAGUGGAGGACAUCGCCCUGAGGCUCGUCUCCCUGCGCCAGGCCUUCACUACCCUGCUUGGUUCCACCCUGAGCAGGAACCAUCUGUUUGUGG